rnacentral:rRNA from 1 species
GACGUAGGGGGCGAGCGUUGUCCGGAUUUAUUGGGCGUAAAGCGUGCGUAGGCGGCUGCGCAAGUCGGUUGUGUAACCCCGGGGCUCAACCCCGGAACUGCAUCCGAUACUGCGUGGCUAGAGGUAGGUAGGGGAGAUCGGAAUUCCUGGUGUAGCGGUGAAAUGCGCAGAUAUCAGGAGGAACACCGGUGGCGAAGGCGGAUCUCUGGGCCGGAACUGACGCUGAGGAGCGAAAGCGUGGGUAGCAAACAGG